rnacentral:misc_RNA from 1 species
UCAAGGGGCAUGUUGAAUCGGUGGCAAGAACCAAGGGACUUGAUAUUGAUCUUGAUGAACACUACUACUCCGUUUGAGAAGAUGCCUCUGUGGUUGUUGAGUUUUGAUCGAGAAGAGUGAAACCCAGUUAAUAAAACUUAGGAUGCAUCCUACAAAAAGGGGGAAAAAAUCAUCCUUGAAGAUUUUGCAGGAUGCACGGGUUUGGUAAGAAACAUAUGAGA